rnacentral:sRNA from 1 species
AUAUUAUUGUAAGACGCAGUAUUCUAGUCAGGCUGAGCUAUAAGGACGGCGAAAUUAAUAGCGCCGAAGGGCAUAACGAUGAAGUUUCUGGUGCGUUCUUUGGUUGCCCAAACCGGGGUGCGUGCUGGAAGUUAAGAUUUUUGGGCAGGCUGUAACGGCAUAUAGCUGUCGACCCAAUUAUCGCGGAGACUCAACAGGGUGGCUAUUCCACUCUCUGAGAUAUGAACCUGCAUUGCGGUAAAAGCCGUGUGCAGUGUAGCCUACUUUGAGUGAAUGCUUUGGGAUUAGGUGUUAAACAUACCUGCUUUGGCCGGCCGACCUUGCAGGUAUCUGCCUAUGAAAUUACAUUUGCAAAACAAGAGAAUUAUAGCUUUGUCUGUUAAGGAAAACUUCUAGACUGUUGCGUUGCAAGCAAAGAUAGGAUUAUAGUGUGUUCUGAGUGGCGAUUCGGUGUGUAGCCUUGCUUAAGAGGAAACUGCUUGUUCGGCGACGACAAGUGCAGGGCUGGGAAAUCCGACCGAACCUAUGACACAAGGUUUACUAUUUUUGUUGUCUU